rnacentral:rRNA from 1 species
UACGUAGGGGGCAAGCGUUGUCCGGAUUUAUUGGGCGUAAAGGGCUCGUAGGCGGCCAACUAAGUCGGACGUGAAAUCCCUCGGCUUAACCGGGGAACUGCGUCCGAUACUGGAUGGCUUGAGUUCGGGAGAGGGAUGCGGAAUUCCAGGUGUAGCGGUGAAAUGCGUAGAUAUCUGGAGGAACACCGGUGGCGAAGGCGGCAUCCUGGACCGACACUGACGCUGAGGAGCGAAAGCCAGGGGAGCAAACGGG